GAUGAACGCUGGCGGCGUGCUUUAACACAUGCAAGUCGAACGGAGAGCUAUUGACGGAGUUUUCGGACAACUGAAAUAGUUUCUUAGUGGCGGACGGGUGAGUAACGCGUGAGGAACCUGCCUUUGAGAGGGGAAUAACACAGAGAAAUUUGUGCUAAUACCGCAUAAAGCAGUUGGGUCGCAUGGCUCUGACUGCCAAAAGAUUUUUAUCGCUCUUAGAUGGCCUCGCGUCUGAUUAGCUAGUUGGUGAGGUAACGGCCCACCAAGGCGACGAUCAGUAGCCGGACUGAGAGGUUGACCGGCCACAUUGGGACUGAGACACGGCCCAGACUCCUACGGGAGGCAGCAGUGGGGAAUAUUGGGCAAUGGGCGCAAGCCUGACCCAGCAACGCCGCGUG
rnacentral:rRNA from 1 species